UUUUUCUACAUGCUCUCUGUAUAAGAGAUGAAAGAUUGGUCUGUGCUUGCUCUCAGGUCGACUCCACUAUACCAGCAGACUGGUAGAUUCCCUAAAGAAAGAUACUCCCCUCCUUGGAGAACUUGUGAUUUGAAAGUCAGACAAGAAGCUCUGAACAGAGACACAGGCAGAAACGGAAAUUCUGUUUGAAAAGAAAUAUUUUGCCCUUUCAUGUGGAUUCUCACACUCUUGGUAUGUGUCUUGCCUGUGGAAGCUUGGGCACCUUCUUUUUUGCUGCUUCUGUGGGAAGAAUGAACCACGCUAAAAGGAUGGACACGUUUGUGAGGAAAGCCCCAGGGCAGAAAUCAGGAGCCACAGCUGGAGGGAAGAGCAAAGCCAUGGAAUGGGACUCCAGCAAU
rnacentral:lncRNA from 1 species